rfam:Oryza glaberrima chromosome 3 Oglab03_0141_12, whole genome shotgun sequence.
AAUAGUUGUCAUUUUGAGUUUUUGCUUGUAACUUUUGACCAUUCGUCUUAUUCAAAAGAUUAUGAAAUUAUUAUUUAUUUUGUUUUUGACUUGCUUUAUUAUCAAAAGUACUUUAAAUAUGACUUAUCCUUUUUUAUAUUUACAAUAAUUUUUAAAAUAAAACGAAUGGUCAAACGUUGCAAGCAAAAAGUCAAAACGACAUCUAAU